GUUGACCUCGGAUCAGGUAGGGAUACCCGCUGAACUUAAGCAUAUCAAUAGGCGGAG
rnacentral:rRNA from 1 species